rnacentral:lncRNA from 1 species
GUGGUUUCAUGCCUUAAAGGUACACAUGCGUUCAAACAAGAUCUCAUCUCUGGGUUAGGGUAAACUGUUAAGAUUUAAACUUACUCAUUUUUCCUUCCACCAUGGGGCUUGCAACCGUCACUUGUGUCUUGAGCAGUUAAAAGAUAGAACGGUCUAGUCAAGCGCCAUGUCUCUUGUUCUUUGAUUAACUAUAGCUUUGGAGUUUUUUUGCAGAUUCUAAAUAAAACUCAGAGAUUCCUUGUAUGACUCUCUCUAGUCUCUCUUUUGUGGUAUUUUUGGAUCCUUACCAAGGCAGUAAUGGUGUAUGCCUUCUCUCAAAGUAUGUGGUAUUUUUGGUAUGAGGCAUAGUGGCAUUGCCUUCUCUCUCACCCUACUCUAAUAAGGUUUUGAUAUCUGGAGCUCAUAGGUGGGAGACAGCUAAUACAUACUUAAAAGACAUUUAUUGCAUAGUCAAACCAUGGAUCUAGAAGAACAAGUCAAUAAGUCAAAUCAAGAUGUGCAUGUGUGGCGAAUGAAUGGUGAUAAUGGUGAAAAUAAUGGUGAAAGUCUAAUUCUACUUUUGCUAUUUUGAGGGGGUACAUACCUUCCUUGUACUUGAGGCUUUUGAGGGGAAUGAGAUGCUCUAUAUUUUAUUUUUCUUUUCUCUCAGGUGGGUAUCUUGUACCCCUAAUUCUACUGUCGGACACUUAUCCAUUUUUACCUCUCGUCUCACUUUUUCUCUUUUUUUUGAGGUUUUGGCCACUUGCCCCUUUUUAUUUUCUUGUAUUCACCUUUUUUCACAGCACUCAUCCUCCUGGAAUAAUGUAGCAAGUGGUAGUAACCAAAAUAUCUCGAGCAUUUAUUUCACGGGGAAUAACAAGGAUAGGAUAAUGUUUUUGGCUAUUCUCUCCUAGAUAGGAGUAGAAUAAUUUUGGGUGAAUCUGGAUAUGGAAAUGAGUGGAUGUAUGUGGAUGCAUACUUCCAGAGUAGAAGCAGCAUGUAUGAGUAAACGUGCAAGUGAAUUUUGAUUUUAACCGCAUGACAAGCUCCUAAGGGUCUAUACAGCUUGACCAUACUCAAUGCUCAUAAGCAGUAAAAAGUAAAUGUAUGGUUCAUAGUCUAAUAAGCAUGUAUAUAUGGCUGUGGUAGGAUUAUAGACUCUCAUCAUACAGGAACUCAUCAUGCAACAUUUUAAAGAUUUUAAAAGAUAAAAUUCUCCAGAAUUCUAGCAUCUCUAUGAACAGAUAAACAGCAGCUCAACCUUCCCAUAUCGUAUCCGUUAACGACUUAGACUUUAGAUCAAGUACUCUUCCCACAAGUUCAGAUUUAGAGCAAAUCUUAAUUAAUAACAGUCAUGCCUAAACUUGAGAGAGAUUUUAGUUUUGAGAACUAGUCAUGGCAGAGCAACUAUUCAUUAUUUCCAUAUGAGAGCUUAUCAUGAGGGUUCAUAGUAAACUUUAUUUAUUUAUUUAUUUAGCAAACUAAGCAAAGAUAUAUAUAUAUAAGCACAAAAUCUUUAUUUGGGUUUUUAUGAUUAUGCAUCUUUUUAUUGUUUGAGUAAAGUAUAAACUGAGUAGAAUACUUAGCUGGAUAAAUGGGGGUGCUCUCCCCCAAGCUGAAUUUUGAUGUAAUUUCUUCUGAUGUAGCUAGCAGGUGGCGGACGUGUAUUUGAAUGUCGGCAGCACCCUGACAGCGAUUAGGAUGUCCUCCGUCUGUUUAGUCUUCUUUGAUCCUUGAAUUCUGUGGAGCUCAAAUAGACAACAAAGCUUUGUGGAACUAGUUAAGUGUUAGCAUAAAUAUCUAGCCUUUAUCAUGUUGAGCCUCCUCAAUAAAUGUUACUCUCUUUAGUAGGAUCACAAUCUUAUUUGUAUAUUUUCAUUUUUAUAGGACAGGAAUAUAUUUAUUUUAUUUUUACGCCACUACAGUGUAUAUACUUAUGGGUUUUAUGCCACGAGCAUACUCACAUAGGGCUUACUAUUUUUAACAUUUUUAUUUUCUUUUCAAGAUAGCAUGAUUAACUAACAAGCCAAUUAAGGAAAGUAAAUAAUUUAAGGGAAAAGAGAAUGCUGAAAGAAUAAAUAUGGAUAACUACCGAUUUUACCUUUCGGCGAGGGUUCAAUGUUUUAAGUCUUCUGAACAAGACUUCUCACUGUGUUCAUUCUUUAGGUGCGUCACUUGAUUCAGGUAUAGACCUUGACGUCAGCACCUCUUGAUACGGUGUCACCCAUGUUCUUCGUUUGCCCAGCAGUUCGAAGUGCGGCGUUGGCAGCAUCCUGCUCAGUGUGUUUGUGCUCGUAGAUCCAGGUUCUUCACUUGAUGGAGUCUAGGAGUUGUAAAACUCCUCUAUAUUUUGCUCGAAGUGUACCUGCUCAUAGAGACAAGGCAGAGAUCAAGUGCAUGGGCCCAGUUGGUGGAAAACACCAAUAGAACCAAAAGUGUAUUUGUUCUUCUCUAACCUUAAGCAUAGUGAGCAACACAAAGUUGAUGGAUGAUAAGAUCAUGAGUGUAGCAUUUAAAACAUUUGUCAGAUCAGAUCGCUCAACCUA